GACGAACGCUGGCGGCGUGCCUAACACAUGCAAGUCGAACGGGGAGUUAGCAAUAACUCCUAGUGGCGAACGGGUGAGUAACGCGUAGACAACCUGCCUCUAAACUGGGGACAACACCGCGAAAGUGGUGCUAAUACCGAAUGUGGUAUCUUGAUCGCAUGAUCAAGAUAAGAAAGAUGGCCUCUACAUGUAAGCUAUCGAUUAGAGAUGGGUCUGCGGCUGAUUAGCUAGUUGGUGAGGUAAUGGCUCACCAAGGCGACGAUCAGUAGCCGGUCUGAGAGGAUGAACGGCCACACUGGGACUGAGACACGGCCCAGACUCCUACGGGAGGCAGCAGUGGGGAAUCUUCCGCAAUGGACGAAAGUCUGACGGAGCAACGCCGCGUGGGUGAAGAAGGUCUUCGGAUUGUAAAGCUCCGUCGUUUGGGACGAACGUAUCUAGUGUGAAUAAUGCUAGGUAAUGACGGUACCAAAGGAGGAAGCCACGGCUAACUACGUGCCAGCAGCCGCCGCGGUAA
rnacentral:rRNA from 1 species